AUACGGAGGGUGCAAGCGUUAAUCGGAAUUACUGGGCGUAAAGAGUACGUAGGUGGUUUGUUAAGUCAGAUGUGAAAGCCCCGGGCUCAACCUGGGAACUGCAUUUGAAACUGGCAAACUAGAGUAUGGUAGAGGGGGGUAGAAUUUCUAGUGUAGCGGUGAAAUGCGUAGAUAUUAGAAGGAAUACCAGUGGCGAAGGCGGCCCCCUGGACCAAUACUGACGCUGAGGAACGAAAGCGUGGGUAGCAAACAGGAUUAGAAACCCUAGUAGUCC
rnacentral:rRNA from 1 species